UGCCUUACACAUGCAAGUCGAACGGCAGCGGGGGUAGCUUGCUACCUGCCGGCGAGUGGCGAACGGGUGAGUAAUACAUCGGAACGUGCCCUGUAGUGGGGGAUAACUAGUCGAAAGACUAGCUAAUACCGCAUACGACCUGAGGGUGAAAGUGGGGGACCGCAAGGCCUCAUGCUAUAGGAGCGGCCGAUGUCUGAUUAGCUAGUUGGUGGGGUAAAGGCCCACCAAGGCGACGAUCAGUAGCUGGUCUGAGAGGACGAUCAGCCACACUGGGACUGAGACACGGCCCAGACUCCUACGGGAGGCAGCAGUGGGGAAUUUUGGACAAUGGGGGCAACCCUGAUCCAGCAAUGCCGCGUGUGUGAAGAAGGCCUUCGGGUUGUAAAGCACUUUUGUCCGGAAAGAAAUCGCACUGGUUAAUACCUGGUGUGGAUGACGGUACCGGAAGAAUAAGGACCGGCUAACUACGUGCCAGCAGCCGCGGUAAUACGUAGGGUCCAAGCGUUAAUCGGAAUUACUGGGCGUAAAGCGUGCGCAGGCGGUUGUGCAAGACCGAUGUGAAAUCCCCGGGCUUAACCUGGGAAUUGCAUUGGUGACUGCACGGCUAGAGUGUGUCAGAGGGAGGUAGAAUUCCACGUGUAGCAGUGAAAUGCGUAGAGAUGUGGAGGAAUACCGAUGGCGAAGGCAGCCUCCUGGGAUAACACUGACGCUCAUGCACGAAAGCGUGGGGAGCAAACAGGAUUAGAUACCCUGGUAGUCCACGCCCUAAACGAUGUCAACUAGUUGUUGGGGAUUCAUUUCCUUAGUAACGUAGCUAACGCGUGAAGUUGACCGCCUGGGGAGUACGGUCGCAAGAUUAAAACUCAAAGGAAUUGACGGGGACCCGCACAAGCGGUGGAUGAUGUGGAUUAAUUCGAUGCAACGCGAAAAACCUUACCUACCCUUGACAUGCCACUAACGAAGCAGAGAUGCAUUAGGUGCUCGAAAGAGAAAGUGGACACAGGUGCUGCAUGGCUGUCGUCAGCUC
rnacentral:rRNA from 1 species